AACAACAAAUCUCCAGCAAGUGCCAUCCCAAACAUCAUCAUCAGAAUCUAAGGAAACAAAUGUACAACAUCUUUAUUUUAUGGAAGGCUGUAACCAUUUAUAGGCAUUAGCCACUACUAAGAACGGAAGCGGUGGCUUCUUAUGGAGGCACUGGGAUCUUUUACCUUUGCCUUCUCGAGUAAAUUACAUCCUUGGCCUUCUCGGGGAUUCGAACUCUGUCCGUUCGACAAAGAACGUCUAUGCCAUCGGUACGGCAGUCAAAAUAACUACACACUUUCCCGCCUGGGCGACUCAUUAACAAAACUAAUUAUCAACAAUCUGUUUUCGGAACUCAAUAUUGGAAUUUUUGGUGUUAUUUAAUUAUUUUAUUACUUUCUGCUAACCUCUGAAAACAAGAAACAUUUUCUUUCCCUGAUUGUCUGUCCUGAACUUUGUCCUUAAAACGUGAGGGCCCAUAAUCUGGAUGAUUAGGAUCAUUAGAUGGUUUA